CGGAUUCCUCGUUAGGUGAGGCGUCUGUACGUUGGAGAGGCCGCUGCCCGGAAAGGUCGAGAGACCCCAAUGGGUGACCAGGCACCGUCGAGUCAAGGCGGAGCUUAACGCGGAAGGGGCUCGUUCCCACGGCGUGCAGUGCUAAAGCUCAACGUCGGGGCUACGAG
rnacentral:sRNA from 1 species